UGGGGAAUAUUGCACAAUGGGCGCAAGCCUGAUGCAGCCAUGCCGCGUGUAUGAAGAAGGCCUUCGGGUUGUAAAGUACUUUCAGCGGGGAGGAAGGCAGUAAAGUUAAUACCUUUGCUCACUGACGUUACCCGCAGAAGAAGCACCGGCUAACUCCGUGCCAGCAGCCGCGGUAAUACGGAGGGUGCAAGCGUUAAUCGGAAUUACUGGGCGUACAGCGCACGCAGGCGGUUUGUUAAGUCAGAUGUGAAAUCCUCGGGCUCAACCUGGGAACUGCAUCUGAUACUGGCAAGCUUGAGUCUCGUAGAGGGGGGUAGAAUUCCAAGUGUAGCGGUGAAAUGCGUAGAGAUCUGGGGGAAUACCGAUGGCGAAGGCGGCCCCCUGGACGAAGACUGACGCUCAGGUGCGAAAGCGUGGGGAGCAAACGGG
rnacentral:rRNA from 1 species